UCAUGGCCCUGGCUCAGGCAU
rnacentral:misc_RNA from 1 species